GGGGAUUUUCCGAAUAGCAAAACGAAUUUGAACUCAUCUUUACAGAAACUUAAUAGGUAAAUACUUCACGCACGAAAAUCACAGAAAACCGUUAAACAUAUUGUACUUUCAUUCUUUGUAGUAAUUUAUAGUAAUAAUAAUAAUUUCUAUUUCUUGAAA